GUGUCGUGGCUUCUCAUACUCGACGCGGCGCACACGUUCCAUCGAUCAGAUCGGCCCGUGGGCCACAAGGCAGGAGGAGGACCACGCCUACUUCCCACGCCCGUGGGCCACAAGGCAGGAGUAGGUACGGCCACGUACCUCUCCGUACGGCGGCUUGCAUGCUACUCGUUUCCGAUCGUUGUCCACGUCUCGUACUCACGUGUACAACGCAUUAACGCACCUGGUCUGGUCCAGCCAGCCUGAAAACAUGGUCCUGGUCCUACUGUCACGUUGAUAUAUACCGUACUUAUAACGUGUCAACCUCGCCGAAUAUUUUGCCAUCUAGCAUCAUUAUCAGUCGACACCGGCCGUAUCGGACGAAGCACCACCGUGUGCGGUCGCGUUGGAGCGUCCGAUCCACAACAGUAGCAGCGGGAAUUAAUUCGAGAUCCAGACAGCGACGGAUCGAUCGAGCAUCAAGGAGGAGUACUAGUAGGAGCAUUUUGUCUUGGCUUUUGCGACAAGGGCCGGCCAUCGGACUCGGCUGUGGGCGUCCGUCCGUCCCCGGCUCGUGAGUCGCUCUCUCUCUCUCUCUGUUUCUCUGUCAGGGAAUUGAUGAACCGGCCGGGGUGAUGCGUGCGUGCACCGUGAAAGGAAACUCGCCCAUGUUCGAUUCGAUCCAGCCAGUGGGUAUGCGUGUGGAGGGGUGUGGAUGAUACUAAUGCAGGGAGCGGCUGUUAUGUAUACUCUGCAUAUGUACCGUUCUCUACCGUGUACAACUAGUAUGCUGGUGGACUAGCCUCGUGGUUCAAAACACUAGUAUUACGCUGGUUUGUUGGUGCAUUAUCGGAAUUCGGUGGUUUAGUGUUGCCCGUGUGCAACACUGGAUUCGCUCUGAAGGCGUGGCGUGGAGGCGAGCGGGGCUGUUUCGUGGGGCCAACUUUUCUUUUCCUAGUGUACGGAGCAGUAGAGCAUGCACCUUUUGGGUUA